rnacentral:tRNA from 1 species
AAAGAUUUAGUAUAAUUUUUAGUAUGAUUCAUUGUCUGUGAUUAGGAUUUGUCUUUU